GGUCCCGUAGCUCAGUUGGUUAGAGCGUCUGUCUUACACACAGAAGGCCGUCCGUUCGAGUCGGACCGGGACCA
rnacentral:tRNA from 1 species